GAUGAAGAACGUAGCGAACUGCGAUAAGUAAUGUGAAUUGCAGAAUUCAGUGAAUCAUCGAAUCUUUGAACGCACAUUGCGCCCUUUGGUAUUCCUUAGGGCAUGCCUGUUCGAGCGUCAUUUGAAACCUCAAGCUCAGCUUGGUGUUGGGUGUCUGUCCCCGCCUCCGCGGGGACUCGCCUCAAAAUCAUUGGCGGCCGGUACGUUGGCUUCGAGCGCAGCAGAAACGCGAACUCGAGGCCCGGCGGAUCGGCGACCAGAAGUCUCUUCUUCACAGUUUGACCUCGGAUCAGGUAGGGAUACCCGCUGAACUUAAGCAUAUCAAUAAGCGGAGGA
rnacentral:misc_RNA from 1 species